rnacentral:rRNA from 1 species
GUAGGUGGCAAGCGUUGUCCGGAUUUACUGGGUGUAAAGGGCGUGCAGCCGGGUCUGCAAGUCAGAUGUGAAAUCCAUGGGCUCAACCCAUGAACUGCAUUUGAAACUGUGGAUCUUGAGUGUCGGAGGGGCAAUCGGAAUUCCUAGUGUAGCGGUGAAAUGCGUAGAUAUUAGGAGGAACACCAGUGGCGAAGGCGGAUUGCUGGACGAUAACUGACGGUGAGGCGCGAAAGUGUGGGGAGCAAACAGGAUUAGAUACCCUGGUAGUCCACACUGUAAACGAUGAAUACUAGGUGUGCGGGGACUGACCCCCUGCGUGCUGCAGUAAACACAAUAAGUAUUCCACCUGGGGAGU